rnacentral:rRNA from 1 species
GUCGAGCGAGCUGAAUUCAAAGAUCCCUUCGGGGUGAUUUGUUGGACGCUAGCGGCGGAUGGGUGAGUAACACGUGGGCAAUCUGCCCUAAAGACUGGGAUACCACUUGGAAACAGGUGCUAAUACCGGAUAACAACAUGAAUCGCAUGAUUCAAGUUUGAAAGGCGGCGUAAGCUGUCACUUUAGGAUGAGCCCGCGGCGCAUUAGCUAGUUGGUGGGGUAAAGGCCUACCAAGGCAAUGAUGCGUAGCCGAGUUGAGAGACUGAUCGGCCACAUUGGGACUGAGACACGGCCCAAACUCCUACGGGAGGCAGCAGUAGGGAAUCUUCCACAAUGGACGCAAGUCUGAUGGAGCAACGCCGCGUGAGUGAAGAAGGUUUUCGGAUCGUAAAGCUCUGUUGUUGGUGAAGAAGGAUAGAGGCAGUAACUGGUCUUUAUUUGACGGUAAUCAACCAGAAAGUCACGGCUAACUACGUGCCAGCAGCCGCGGUAAUACGUAGGUGGCAAGCGUUGUCCGGAUUUAUUGGGCGUAAAGCGAGCGCAGGCGGAAUGAUAAGUCUGAUGUGAAAGCCCACGGCUCAACCGUGGAACUGCAUCGGAAACUGUCAUUCUUGAGUGCAGAAGAGGAGAGUGGAAUUCCAUGUGUAGCGGUGGAAUGCGUAGAUAUAUGGAAGAACACCAGUGGCGAAGGCGGCUCUCUGGUCUGCAACUGACGCUGAGGCUCGAAAGCAUGGGUAGCGAACAGGAUUAGAUACCCUGGUAGUCCAUGCCGUAAACGAUGAGCGCUAGGUGUUGGGGACUUUCCGGUCCUCAGUGCCGCAGCAAACGCAUUAAGCGCUCCGCCUGGGGAGUACGACCGCAAGGUUGAAACUCAAAGGAAUUGACGGGGGCCCGCACAAGCGGUGGAGCAUGUGGUUUAAUUCGAAGCAACGCGAAGAACCUUACCAGGUCUUGACAUCCUGUGCUACACCUAGAGAUAGGUGGUUCCCUUCGGGGACGCAGAGACAGGUGGUGCAUGGCUGUCGUCAGCUCGUGUCGUGAGAUGUUGGGUUAAGUCCCGCAACGAGCGCAACCCUUGUCUUUAGUUGCCAUCAUUAAGUUGGGCACUCUAA